GAUCCUGGCUCAGGAUGAACGCUGGCGGCGUGCCUAAUACAUGCAAGUCGAACGCUUUGUGGUUCAACUGAUUUGAAGAGCUUGCUCAGAUAUGACGAUGGACAUUGCAAAGAGUGGCGAACGGGUGAGUAACACGUGGGAAACCUACCUCUUAGCAGGGGAUAACAUUUGGAAACAGAUGCUAAUACCGUAUAACAAUAGCAACCGCAUGGUUUCACUUAAACGUAAAUGGUUCGUUGU
rnacentral:rRNA from 1 species